rfam:Brassica napus, WGS project CCCW01000000 data, contig: 22051
GUGUAAGUAUGAACGAUUUCAGACUGUGAAACUGCAAAUGGCUCAUUAAAUCAGUUAUAGUUUGUUUGAUGGUAACUACUACUCGGAUAACCGUUGUAAUUCUAGAGCUAAUACGUGCAACAAACCCCGACUUCUGGAAGGGAUGCAUUUAUUAGAUAAAAGGUCGAUGCGGGCUCUGUGAAAUGCCCCGACCCGGUUUCCCUUAACGUCGGUUCGUCCUCAGUUUGCUUGCCCCGACCCAAACUGGCCUUUUAUGUUUACUCGGUUAACUAUCAUGGAUAACAACCUUACUGAAAG